ACCCGACGCGCGUUUCGGUGCUGUGAUGCACCUUCGUCAGGGGCCCUGACGAAGGUGCAUCACAGCACCGAAACGCGCGUCGGGU